rnacentral:lncRNA from 10 species
AGUGAGCCGAGAUUGCGUCACCGCACUCCAGCCUGGGCGACAGAGCGAGACUCCGUCUCAAAAAAAAUGACUGGACAAAAAACACUCUGAUGCAAACAGGCAAGAAACCCAGCAAGGCCUAUCUGGAUUCUCCUUGGCCUGUCUGCAGCAUUCAUUCCUUCUGGGUAUGGAACAGGACCCUCUGGAAUGGGGGCUGUGGCCUACAACAGUUAAACAAGAAAUCUCUCUCUGGGAACAGUGUGGAAGAUGGAUUGAAAUGGUGUAAAAUUGAAGAUGUGGACUCCGGUUGGGAGACUACACCCUAGAUAAGAUGAAGAGAACUUGAAGCAAGACAAUAGCAAUGGGAAUAUAAAGGAGAGGAGACAUUUGAGUGAAAUUAAGGAAGCACAAUCUGCAGACUGUUUUCUUUUUUUUAAGAGUCAGGGUCUCCCUAUUUUGCCCAGGCUGGUCUCAAAGUCCUAGGCUCAAGCGACCCACCCACCUCAGCCUUCCAAAAUGCUGGAAUUACAGGGGUGAACUGCCUCACCAUGCCUCAGUCUGCAGAAUUUGAUGACUGAAUGUAUUUGGAGAGAGUCUGUGGCUUGGAUGACUGGGAGCUGUGAUUGGUUGAUUGAUUUUGAGGCGGAGUUUCACUCUUGUUGCCCAGGCUGAAGUGCAGUGGCACAACCUCUGCUCACUGCAACCGCUGCCUUCCAGUUUCAAGCGAUUCUCCUGCCUCAGCCUCCCAAGUAGCUGGGAUUACAGGCGCCUGCCACAACGUCUGGAGACGGAGUUUCUCCAUUUUGGCCAGUUUGGUGUCGACCUCCCGGGCUUAAGCGAUCCACCCACCUCAGCCUCCCAAAGUGUUGGGAUUACAGGCGUGAGCCACUGUAUCCAGCUUGUGAUAUACUUUUAAUAAAUUUCUCUUAAACUUAAAUUAGCAAGUGCUUGUUUAUCAUCCUUCCAAUUAGAGAACCUGGAUUCGGCCAUUAGGAAGUCAAGGGUGGCAUUCAU